rnacentral:lncRNA from 1 species
AGGAAAGCAGGUUGUGACACAGGGAUAUAAAAGAGUCAGACUGAACAGACAGUCCUGAGUCAUCCAGCCCAGUCCUCUGACAUCAGCGGCAAACAAGUCAGAUCUUAUGUUAUUUGCAGAUUGAAACUGCUGAACAGACAAGUGGCAAGGAAGAAUUUUGAAGUCAAUCAAAUUCUAGUGACUGCAAUAGGUUUGGGGAUGGGUACAAUGGCAGGAUCCCUUGCUGUGAGAGCCAGCCCAAUCUAUGCUCUAUGACAAGGAGUGAA